rnacentral:lncRNA from 1 species
CCCUUUUGACUCCUUUCGAAGCUGUUCAAAGAGAGAGCAAGCCCACCGCCACACAAGUUUUCUCCCUCUCUUUAUCCGCAUGCAUGAUCCAUGUAGUGGGACCCAUGUGUAAAUAAAGACUAGUAUCAGAUAAUUAACAACAUAUGUAGAAUAAAUUUAUAUUUUUCUUCUAGAUAACUGUAAAAGAUGUUCUAUCCAAUUGUUGUUUUACUCUAGUGCUUGAAAAAAGUUAUUUGAUUGAAUAAAGCUGAGAAAAGAGGGUGAGAAAUGGUAGAGUUGGCAGGUCUCUUGUGCUGAUAUAAAAGAUAUAGAGUCAAUUCUAUUUUAUCUUGGUCUUCAACCAAGCUCCUAUCCAUUCUAAUUACAGAAAUAAACAGAUAAUAAAUAAAUUUCAUUCCAAUUUAGCCAGCUUUGUUCACAAACCAAAUAUCCAUAGACACAAAUUUUCCUCUUUUGUUAUUAGCAUGCACAAGCCAUACAGAAUGAGACCCACGUU